rnacentral:rRNA from 1 species
GACGAACGCUGGCGGCGUGCUUAACACAUGCAAGUCGAAGAUAGUGGCGAACGGGUGAGUAAUACGUAGUAACCUCCCCUCCUUUUGGGGAUAAGCCUUGGAAACGGGGUCUAUUACCGAAUAACGGGGGAUGGGCUCGCGGCCUAUCAGCUAGUUGGGGGGGUAAAGGCCUACCACGGCGACGAUCCGUAACUGGUCUGAGAGGAUGAUCAGUCACACUGGGACUGAGACACGGUCCAGACUCCUACGGGAGGCAGCAGUGGGGAAGAGUGGACAAUGGGCGAAAGCCUGAUGCAGCCAUGCCGCGUGUGUGAAGAAGGUCUUAGGAUUGUAAAGCACUUUAAGUUGGGAGGCGGUACCAACAGAAUAAGCACCGGCUAACUUCGUGCCAGCAGCCGCGGUAAUUC